UUAGAGUUUGAUUUAUGGCUCAGGACGAACGCUGGCGGCGUGCCUAAUACAUGCAAGUCGAGCGGACAGAUGGGAGCUUGCUCCCUGAUGUUAGCGGCGGACGGGUGAGUAACACGUGGGUAACCUGCCUGUAAGACUGGGAUAACUCCGGGAAACCGGGGCUAAUACCGGAUGGUUGUUUGAACCGCAUGGUUCAAACAUAAAAGGUGGCUUCGGCUACCACUUACAGAUGGACCCGCGGCGCAUUAGCUAGUUGGUGAGGUAAUGGCUCACCAAGGCAACGAUGCGUAGCCGACCUGAGAGGGUGAUCGGCCACACUGGGACUGAGACACGGCCCAGACUCCUACGGGAGGCAGCAGUAGGGAAUCUUCCGCAAUGGACGAAAGUCUGACGGAGCAACGCCGCGUGAGUGAUGAAGGUUUUCGGAUCGUAAAGCUCUGUUGUUAGGGAAGAACAAGUACCGUUCGAAUAGGGCGGUACCUUGACGGUACCUAACCAGAAAGCCACGGCUAACUACGUGCCAGCAGCCGCGGUAAUACGUAGGUGGCAAGCGUUGUCCGGAAUUAUUGGGCGUAAAGGGCUCGCAGGCGGUUUCUUAAGUCUGAUGUGAAAGCCCCCGGCUCAACCGGGGAGGGUCAUUGGAAACUGGGGAACUUGAGUGCAGAAGAGGAGAGUGGAAUUCCACGUGUAGCGGUGAAAUGCGUAGAGAUGUGGAGGAACACCAGUGGCGAAGGCGACUCUCUGGUCUGUAACUGACGCUGAGAGGCGAAAG
rnacentral:rRNA from 1 species